AGCAUCUACCAUGCAGUCGANCGAUGAAGCCCUUCGGGGUGGAUUAGUGGCGAACGGGUGAGUAACACGUGGGCAAUCUGCCCUUCACUCUGGGACAAGCCCUGGAAACGGGGUCUAAUACCGGAUAACACUCSYSSAGGCAUSUSKGKGGGUUGAAAGCUCCGGCGGUGAAGGAUGAGCCCGCGGCCUAUCAGCUUGUUGGUGAGGUAGAAGCUCACCAAGGCGACGACGGGUAGCCGGCCUGAGAGGGCGACCGGCCACACUGGGACUGAGACACGGCCCAGACUCCUACGGGAGGCAGCAGUGGGGAAUAUUGCACAAUGGGCGAAAGCCUGAUGCAGCGACGCCGCGUGAGGGAUGACGGCCUUCGGGUUGUAAACCUCUUUCAGCAGGGAAGAAGCGAAAGUGACGGUACCUGCAGAAGAAGCGCCGGCUAACUACGUGCCAGCAGCCGCGGUAAUACGUAGGGCGCAAGCGUUGUCCGGAAUUAUUGGGCGUAAAGAGCUCGUAGGCGGUCUGUCACGUCGGAUGUGAAAGCCCGGGGCUUAACCCCGGGUCUGCAUUCGAUACGGGCAGACUAGAGUGUGGUAGGGGAGAUCGGAAUUCCUGGUGUAGCGGUGAAAUGCGCAGAUAUCAGGAGGAACACCGGUGGCGAAGGCGGAUCUCUGGGCCAUUACUGACGCUGAGGAGCGAAAGCGUGGGGAGCGAACAGGAUUAGAUACCCUGGUAGUCCACGCCGUAAACGGUGGGAACUAGGUGUUGGCGACAUUCCACGUCGUCGGUGCCGCAGCUAACGCAUUAAGUUCCCCGCCUNGGGGAGUACGGCCGCAAGGCUAAAACUCAAAGGAAUUGACGGGGGCCCGCACAAGCAGCGGAGCAUGUGGCUUAANUUCGACGCAACGCGAAGAANCCUUACCAAGGCUUGACAUCGCCCNGGAAAGCAUCAGAGAUNGGUGNNCCCCCCUUGUGGUCNGGGUGACAGGUNGGUGCAUNGGNCUGUCGUCAGCUCGUGUCGUNGAGAUGUUGGGUWARKUCCCGCAACGAGCGCAMCCSUUGNUUCUGNUGNUUNGCCAGCAUGCCCUUCGGGGUGAUGGGGACUCACAGGAGACUGCCGGGGUCAACUCGGAGGAAGGUGGGGACGACGUCAAGUCAUCAUGCCCCUUAUGUCUUGGGCUGCACACGUGCUACAAUGGCAGGUACAAUGAGCUGCGAUGUCGCAAGGCGGAGCGAAUCUCAAAAAGCCUGUCUCAGUUCGGAUUGGGGUCUGCAACUCGACCCCAUGAAGUCGGAGUUGCUAGUAAUCGCAGAUCAGCAUUGCUGCGGUGAAUACGUUCCCGGGCCUUGUACACACCGCCCGUCACGUCACGAAAGUCGGUAACACCCGAAGCCGGUGGCCCAACCCCCUUGUGGGGAGGGAGCUGUCGAAGGUGGGACUGGCGAUUGGGACGA
rnacentral:rRNA from 1 species